CCUUCUCCAUGGCGUGCUCCUCCCUAUUGUCCCCAUACUUGCAUACCAUAGAGCAGGCCAUGAUGGCGGCCAGAUCCGCGCUUGCUUGUCAAGGUUCGACCGUGGUGAGUGCCGGCCCCGCGCUAGCGCCGCAGGAUUCAAGUUUUCCCUGUUUGAUUCAAGUUUUCCCUGCUCGUCAAGGUUCCCCUGCUUGAUUUAGGUUCAGAAAAUUUUGUGUACUGAACAUCUUGGACUACAUCUUUGCAGAAUCAUCAGUCGCCAUGGAGCUCCGAUCCCACAGUUGCCGCACCUCGACAAAAUCCCUGGAGGAUGAGCGCGUGAGGAUCCCAUAGCUGUCGCAACUCUGUUCAGAAUUCUUGAUUUUUCCCCUGUGAUUAGAGUGAGUAGAUGCUUCUGUGUUGAUGCAAUACCUGGAUUGAUUUGACUUUCACUUAUGCAAAUACCUCUAAAUAUCAUGCAAAUACAAUUUGCCUUUCAAUGAAUUAAGAAACAGGUGCUUACAGUAAUGUAGGAGUAUCUUAGUUGUGUCAUCACACAAGAAGUUGUAGUGCUUACAACUAAGGUGAUAAAGAUUAAGCAAAGCAAAUGAUGUUGGUGGUUAACUUUGUAGAAUGCCUAGUUUGCACUCUGGUUUCUAACAGGAGUAUCACCCACUCUUAUUAAGAAAAGAACUUCUCUUGGGACCUACAAGUUGUCAUUUCUUCUCUGAACUUCUGACUACAAGACAACAUGGUUCUCUAAAAAACAGACUUCAGAGCUUACUAGUUUAGCACAAGAAUGAUUCAAACUACUAAAAAAGCAUUUAGUACAGUAAGUGACUGCUAAUUUGUAAACAACAUAAUCCAAAUUCUAUCCCUGAAUUUGCAGAAUUCCAUUGUCUUGUAAUGCAGGUUGAUCACCUUAAGCGGUGGACAUGGUUUAGGAGAGCAAGGUCCUCAUGGAGAGCUGGGGAGGUAGAUAUCGUCAUUUCUUUCUUCUUACUCCAUGAGCUCAACAGUCAGUCAGUAGCAUGAGACAGUCUUUUGACAAUUAGAUGUGUGUGCGUGGUUUGUAGAAACCAAGAGAUUGUGCAUGAAAAAUGGAACUUUCAGAAUCAGAACCGGAUAGAGCGGUGCUUUUAAAUCAUCAAUUCUUUUAGGCAAAUUCAGUAGUCUAUGUUCAGACAAUUGCUUCUGAAUUUAUACUCUUAACUGAAUUUUGCCGAGGAGUAUACUCUUAACUGAAUUUAGAUAACUGCUGAAAAAAGAUGUGGCAAGCAUAGUCGAUUAAUUGAGGUGCCCACUGUCGAGUGCAUUGGGCUAAGCCUGCCUAGUAGAGUGCUAGUAGUUUCAUGUGCAAUUGAUUAUGCAAUCAACAUGUAAGCACAUCUAGUACCCCUUAGUGGUUUUGGUGUACUGAAGACUUAUAGGUUAAGGGACUAAUGUGUUUGUGAGUGUACACAUGCUCUAUAAGCCGUUGCGGAGUUUGAUAUAUUCGAAGAAUGUCGACCCCUAAAAAUGAAUGUCUUCAACUGAAAAAUUUGAUAUUUUCCUGAAAACUUUAGAAGUGAGGAAAUUGGUGUGUUCUUGAAGAUAUUGAUGCGAGGACUAUGAAGUGUGAAGACUUUUCUUUUUAUAGUUUCAUUUCUUUCUUUUGAGUCAUAGGAACACCAUACUAUUAAAAGGGGUCGAGGUAAUACUAAGGAAAAUUUCCAAGUGAUGCUCAUCUCAAAGCCUACACAUAACCAAUCCUUUGAGUGAAGCCUUUGGAAAUCUCUUGCAGUUCAGUCAAAUUCUUCAGUGACACAGACGGAGUUCUUUUGGUCUCUGAGGAAAUUGCACUGACUGAGGAGUUAAGAUUUCGCCAGUGCGACCUGCCUACAAGUGAAGAAUAUGAUAGCUGUGAGAAUUUUUCAUAGUUCAAAAUUCCAAGCGUUGUUUUGCUUCGCGCCCAUCUGCCCCCAAAACCUUAUCCACAAAACGGUCAUAUCAUUGGUAGCAUUUAAGUCAAAUCAUGUCGGGUUGCACCCUAACUAUAAAUAGAUGCCCCCAUAACCACUAAUUGGUUGGCUGCUCCGAGAGAGAACUUGGCACUUGUCAUCUGAGAGCAACCCAUCCUUUGAGGACUUUGACAGAAAAUCAUCAACGAGGAAAAACCCUAAACCCCAGAACCCCAAAACCAGAAACUCAAAGUGAUUAAGCAUCACUGAAGAGAUUGUUCCUAUGUGGAACCGACGCUUUUUACCUUUGAAGAUUAUGUAUCUUUCAGACGGUUAGAAUCACAUGGUGCAUUUUGUUUCCCUAUUAAAUUAUUAUAAAUAUGGUUAAUUCAUAUCUGGGCCAAUUUCAAAAUUAACAUAUGGGGUCGUUUCAGAAAUACUAUAAGUUGUUUCCGGCCUCAUUUAAAAAGCCUAGAUAAAUAGUUUAAUUACGCCUCACCUCUUGCCAUGCAUAAUAACAUUUAAACUUGUCGUGUCAUUAAAUGAGUGUGAACUAAAUAGUUGAAUGUGGAGUUUUGUCAAUAUGGAACCCGUUGCAUAUUGAGCUUCACUUAAUGUGUAGAAAUUGAUUGUUGUGCUUGGCCAUGUCAUGCAUAAUUAAAUGGACAUGCAUCAUAUUUGAUUGUGCGUCAUGUCAUGAAUAUGUUGUGGUGUUUAUCGUGUGUUGAUUGUUUGUUUCCGGAUUGUUUCUUCUCGAUGGAGUUCCCAAACCAAUUCAGAGUGUGAGGACUCGUUCGACUAUGUUGGUUCAUCUACUUCAUGGAUUCGUUCUUCUUCCAAGCGGGAUCACACGCAAGACGACUAUUUCCCUGGAUACCACUACUAUCAUUGUCAUGCUAGUUGUCUCGUUUCUUUUGCUAUGUCUCGUUGCCUACCACUUGAAUGUCAAGCCUCCUAACAUUGCCAUAAAAAGCCUCUAACCCCUUCACAUCCUAGCAAACCAUUGUUUGGCUAAGUUACCGCUUGCUCGACCCUUCUUAUAGCCUUGAUAGUUGCAGGUGCAGGUUGUUCCAUGUGACAACAUGGAUAUCUUUGGGAUAUCACAAUAUUAUUGCUAUUCAAUUCAAUGCACAUAUAUACUUGGUAAAAGGUGGAAGGCUUGGCCUUUUUCUCGGUGUUUUGUUUCAUCUUUUCCGCCCUAGUUACAUGUGUAUUGGUGUUAUGUUCCAUACUAAGCGCUCCUAACAUGCUUGGGGUUGUUAUGGGGACCCCUUUGAUUUUCAUUUUGGGAUAAAACUCUUCCGACAAGGCCCAACAUUGGUACUAUUUGCU
rnacentral:lncRNA from 1 species